UUAUUUACAAUUCUAUUUCGACUGCAACUCUCUACAUCAAUGAUCAAACUAUAAAUAAUAAAUAAUUUCUGUCUCCCUCCCUCUAGGGUUCUUCAACUCCUUCUUCAUCCAUCUUAGAUUCAUUCAUUCUGAGAUUUGAUUCAUCUGCUUUUUAUUUGUUUGUGGCUAUGGAUUCUACGAUUUUGGCUCCCGAAUUAAUUAAUUAGGUUUUGGCCGUACAUCUGAUUUGAUGUUGGAUCAUCAUCCAAUUCUCCGACGUGGUUUCGGAUCGACGCUGUUGAUCGCUUUCGAUUUUUCAUCGGAUUGAGGUAUAUUUUUAAUUAAUACAUCUCCUCGAUCGGUAGUUUGCGUUAUUAUUAUUAUAUAUUAAUUGCGCGUUCCAUGCAUAUCUGAUUUUGAUCUAUGUUUGUUCUGAAAGAGUACUGAUCUAUGGAAGAGGAUGAAAUCAGAAUAUAUGGAUUCCGUACGUUUAAUAGAAGCUAAGAAUCUUCCCAGUUCUUGAGGUGAUUUGUCAUAUGAUAUACUUAUUUUUAUCUGAUAUAUUGGUUUGGUUCUUAUAGUUGUUGGAUUAUAUGUUGACAUGAUUGGUAACCUUUUAAUAAUCCUCGAUCGAUCGUCAUUCAGGUAUAUAGAUAUCCAGUUAAUCGGAUUAGCCGAUGGUGAUUGUUCGUUAGUAGUUUCCGAAUGCGGAAUGCUUGUGUUGCGUUGCAUUAUUCACAGGCGAGAUUGUAUAGUCUUGAUAGUUAUGUAAAGGAAAGAGAGUGAGUCACGAGAUUCUUGAUAAAAUAGAAUAUAUGAUUAAUCAUGCUGAUGAUUCAGUUUGUCUACCCUAUCGACCUUUGCCAUGAAGGGUGCGCUCGCAUGGCAGGUCACCAAAUCAAUAAAAGUAUCAUUUUUGGUGUUGGAGGGGAUACAUGGCCCGGCUCUCCCCUCCGGGUGUGUGUGUGUGUUGUCUUCUUUCCUUCCCUUUCUUCUUACCGCCAUGGCAACACUUCUCAGAAUUCAAUCGUAAAAAAGUAAAAAAAUAGUACCCAAACAAAUGUAAUGUCUGCUGAGUUAAUUCAGCGUGAUGGAGUCUUAACCAACACAUUCCACCCCAAGUUUGAAUAUUCGUUUGAUCAACGACAGAGCAACCGACUUAUUAUACAUUUUGUUAAACAAGCAAGAUUCAAAUUUCCAGUUCGUUGUUUGACGGAAACUUUGUGGUUGUAUGAUUACCUAGUUUGGAGCCAAAAGGCAUGAUGGUGUUUGUAAUAGUAGAGAGACGUAGAUUCUGAUUGUAUUUAGUGUUAGUUUGGAGCCCGUGCUCGUGGUUUCCGAUCGAGAGCUUGAUGAUGUGGCAGCUUGUUCUAAUUACAUGCUGCUGACGAUCGAAGAUUCUGCAUGCCUAUGCUAUAAUGUUGGAGAAGAAGAUUCUGUCCGGUAGCUGUUUUCAGAGGUAUGUUCUCAAUCCAGAGUGUUAGAAUUUUUUAACUUUCGCAUGUGCAUUGUCCUCGAAGUUGAAGCUUUAACUGCAUAUUUGAAUUGCAUACAGAUGUUCGAUUAUGAGUUAACGAGCUGGCUAAUUAUUAACUACUUUUUGGUUCAGGGCGUGUUCAAUUGAAGUAUUAUUAGCUGAUGGCGAUGGUUGUUGAAGUGAAGUCUCGGCAAUGGUUGAAGAAGCUUCUAGAGCAUGUAACUAGGUAUUUUCUUGUAUAAUUUUAACGAGAGAGAGAGAGACUCUUAUGGUAGUCUCUACCGAUCGACCUUUGCCAUGAUGGGUGCGCUCGCAUGGCAGGUCACCGCAUCAAUAAAAAUAAAAUUAUUAUUAGCUGAUGCCGAUGGUUGUUGAAGUGAAGUCUCGACAAUGGUUGAAGAAGCUUCUAGAGCAUGUAACUAGGUAUUUUCUUGUAUAAUUUCAACGAGAGAGAGAGAGAGACUCUUAUGGUUGUCUCUACCGAUCGACCUUUGCCAUGAAGGGUGCGCUCGCAUGGCAGGUCACCGCAUCAAUAAAAAUAAAAAUAUUAUUAGCUGAUGGCGAUGGUUGUUGAAGUGAAGUCUCGACAAUGGUUGAAGAAGUUUCUAGAGCAUGUAACUAGGUAUUUUCUUUUAUAAUUUUAACGAGAGAGAGAGAGAGAGAGACUCUUAUUGUUGUCUCUACCGAUCGACCUUUGCCAUGAAGGGUGCGCUCGCAUGGCAGGUCACUGCAUCAAUAAAAAUUUUAUUAGCUGAUGGCGAUGGUUGUUGAAGUGAAGUCUCGACAAUGGUUGAAGAAGCUUUUAGAGCAUGUAACUAGGUAUUUUCUUGUAUAAUUUUUUAGAGAGAGAGAGAGAGAGAGAGAGAGAGAGAGAGAGAGACUCUUAUUGUUGUCUCUACCGAUCGACCUUUGCCAUGAAGGGUGCGCUCGCAUGGCAGGUCACCGCAUCAAUAAAAAUAAAAAUAUUAUUAGCUGAUGGCGAUGGUUGUUGAAGUGAAGUCUCGACAAUGGUUGAAGAAGCUUCUAGAGCAUGUAACUAGGUAUUUUCUUGUAUAAUUUUUUAUAGAGAGAGAGAGACUCGUAUGGUUGUCUCUACCGAUCGACCUUUGCCAUGAAGGGUGCGCUCGCAUGGCAGGUCACCGCAUCAAUAAAAAUAUUUUUAGCUGAUGGCGAUGGUUGUUGAAGUGAAGUCUCGACAAUGGUUGAAGAAGCUUUUAGAGCAUGUAACUAGGUAUUUUCUUGUAUAAUUUUAUCGAGAGAGAGAGAGAGAGAGAGAGAGAGAGAGAGAGAGAGUCUUAUGCUUGUCUCUAGCGAUCGACCUUUGCCAUGAAGGGUGCGCUCGCAUGGCAGGUCACGGCAUCAAUAAAAAUAUUAUUAGCUGAUGGCGAUGGUUGUUGAAGUGAAGUCUCGACAAUGGUUGAAGAAGCUUCUAGAGCAUUUAACUAGGUAUUUUCUUAGAGAGAGAGAGAGAGAGAGAGAGAGAGAGAGAGAGAGAGAGAGAGAGAGAGAGAGAGAGAGAGAGAGAGAGAGAGAGACUCUUAUGGUUGUCUCUACCGAUCGACCUUUGCCAUGAAGGGUGCGCUCGCAUGGCAGGUCCCCGCAUUAAUAAAACAUUAUUUUGUGUCGGUGGGGAGAUGGCACAGGCGAUUGCUCGGCUCUAUCCUCUGAGUGUGUCGUUUCCCUUUUUUUCCUUCUUUUUUUUCCCCACUCUGUCUUGUGUUAUUGGCGGCACUUCAAUUAUAAUUUAUUUAAUUUAUUUCGAUGGAAUCUAUAAAAUAAAAAUUUAGACUGGUUAUUCUUCGUUCGACUACAUUUAUUUAUUGUAAUUUUUUUUUCUAAUGUAGACUCUGGUUAAUUAUAUCAUUGGAGCCGGACCUAUUUAGUGUUAGAUUGAAGCCCGUGCUCGUGGUUUCCGAUCGAGAGCCUGAUGAUGUGGCAGCUUGUGCUUACGUGUGCUGGUGGCGAUUGAAGAUUCUGCUAUGCCAUUAUGCUGGAGAAGAGAUUCUGUUCGGUAGUUGUUUUCAGAGGUAUGUUCUCAAUCCGGAGUGUUAGAUUUUUGAAUUUUCGCAUGUGCAUUGUCCUCGAAGUUGAAGCUUUGACUGCGUAUUUGAAAUUGCAUAUAAGAUGUUCGAUUAUGAGUUCACGAGCUGACUAAUUAUUAAUUAAGUUUUGGUUCAGGUGUGGUACGUGUUCAAUUAAAGUAUUAUUAGCUGAUGGCGAUGGUUGUUGAAGCGAAGUCUCGACAAUGGUUGAAGAAGCUUCUAGAGCAUGUAACUAGGUAUUUUUCUUGUAUAAUUUUAACGAGAAGAGAGAGAGAGAGAGACCGAUAGAGAGAUAGAGAAGUUUGGGGAGAGAGAGAGAGAUAGAGAGAGAGAGAGACUCGUAUGGUUGUCUCUACGAUCGACCUUUGCCAUGAACUCGCAUGGCAGGUCACCGCAUUAAUAAAAUAUUAUUUUUUGUGUCGGAGGGGAGAUGGCACAGGCGAUUUGCUCGGCUCUCUCCUGAGUGUGUCGUUCCCUUUUUUUAUUUUUUUCGCUCCGUCUUAUGUUAAUGGCGGCACUUCAAUUGUAAUUUAUUUCGAUGGAAUCUAUAAAAUAAAAAUUAGACUGGUUACUCUUCCUUCGACUCUGUUGGAGCAGAUGUAUUCAUCUUACAUUUAUUUAUUAGGUUAAAUUACAAAUACCCCCCUGAG
rnacentral:lncRNA from 1 species